rnacentral:rRNA from 1 species
GCCAGCAGCCGCGGUAAUUCCAGCUCCAAUAGCGUAUAUUAACGUUGUUGCAGUUAAAAAGCUCGUAGUUGAAAUGAAGGGUAGUUGUGUAAUGAAUACAUUCGUGUAUUUUGUUAUUCAAGUACCCUCCUUCUAAAUUCGAUAUAUGAGUAUUAAUUUACUUGUAUAUGGUUUUAGACCUUUACUGUGAGAAAAUUAGAGUGUUCAAAGCAGGCAUUUGCUUGAAUAUAUUAGCAUGGAAUAAUCAUGUAUGAUUUUCAUGAUGUAUUUGAUUGGUUUGGUUGAUGAGAAUAAGAUUAAAAGGGACAGUUGGGGGUAUUCAUAUUCAAUAGUCAGAGGUGAAAUUCUCGGAUUUAUGGAAGAUGAACAAGUG